rnacentral:rRNA from 1 species
AGUGAACGCUGGCGGUAGGCCUAACACAUGCAAGUCGAACGGCAGCACAGUAAGAGCUUGCUCUUACGGGUGGCGAGUGGCGGACGGGUGAGGAAUACAUCGGAAUCUACUUUUUCGUGGGGGAUAACGUAGGGAAACUUACGCUAAUACCGCAUACGACCUACGGGUGAAAGCAGGGGAUCUUCGGACCUUGCGCGAUUGAAUGAGCCGAUGUCGGAUUAGCUAGUUGGCGGGGUAAAGGCCCACCAAGGCGACGAUCCGUAGCUGGUCUGAGAGGAUGAUCAGCGACACGAGAGCUGAGACACGGUCCAGACUCCUACGGGAGGCAGCAGUGGCGAAUAUUGGACAAUGGGCGCAAGCCUGAUCCAGCCAUACCGCGUGGGUGAAGAAGGCCUUCGGGUUGUAAAGCCCUUUUGUUGGGAAAGAAAAGCAGCAGGUUAAUACCCCGCUGUUCUGACGGUACCCAAAGAAUAAGCACCGGCUAACUUCGUA